rnacentral:other from 1 species
GCUCGUCUGGGGUGUGCGUUGUUGGUUACGUCCCUGAGCCGAUAAUUAAACACUUUGAGUUGGGCAUUAAACUGCUGGUGAGCAGGCUCAGCUACUUCGGUAGAUUGAGAAGCCUAAAAGCGGUUACGUUCGACUCGCCUUGAACCGUCUGGUUCAAGGACCAUCACUGAUGACGGCACUUCGGACACCCU